rnacentral:rRNA from 1 species
AUGCUGGAGGUAUCAGAAGUGCGAAUGCUGACAUAAGUAACGAUAAAGCGGGUGAAAAGCCCGCUCGCCGGAAGACCAAGGGUUCCUGUCCAACGUUAAUCGGGGCAGGGUGAGUCGACCCCUAAGGCGAGGCCGAAAGGCGUAGUCGAUGGGAAACAGGUUAAUAUUCCUGUACUUGGUGUUACUGCGAAGGGGGGACGGAGAAGGCUAUGUUGGCCGGGCGACGGUUGUCCCGGUUUAAGCGUGUAGGCUGGUUUUCCAGGCAAAUCCGGAAAAUCAAGGCUGAGGCGUGAUGACGAGGCACUACGGUGCUGAAGCAACAAAUGCCCUGCUUCCAGGAAAAGCCUCUAAGCAUCAGGUAACAUCAAAUCGUACCCCAAACCGACACAGGUGGUCAGGUAGAGAAUACCAAGGCGCUUGAGAGAACUCGGGUGAAGGAACUAGGCAAAAUGGUGCCGUAACUUCGGGAGAAGGCACGCUGAUACGUAGGUGAAGUCCCUUGCGGAUGGAGCUGAAAUCAGUCGAAGAUACCAGCUGGCUGCAACUGUUUAUUAAAAACACAGCACUGUGCAAACACGAAAGUGGACGUAUACGGUGUGACGCCUGCCCGGUGCCGGAAGGUUAAUUGAUGGGGUUAGCGGUAACGCGAAGCUCUUGAUCGAAGCCCCGGUAAACGGCGGCCGUAACUAUAACGGUCCUAAGGUAGCGAAAUUCCUUGUCGGGUAAGUUCCGACCUGCACGAAUGGCGUAAUGAUGGCCAGGCUGUCUCCACCCGAGACUCAGUGAAAUUGAACUCGCUGUGAAGAUGCAGUGUACCCGCGGCAAGACGGAAAGACCCCGUGAACCUUUACUAUAGCUUGACACUGAACAUUGAGCCUUGAUGUGUAGGAUAGGUGGGAGGCUUUGAAGUGUGGACGCCAGUCUGCAUGGAGCCGACCUUGAAAUACCACCCUUUAAUGUUUGAUGUUCUAACGUUGGCCCCUAAUCGGGGUUGCGGACAGUGUCUGGUGGGUAGUUUGACUGGGGCGGUCUCCUCCUAAAGAGUAACGGAGGAGCACGAAGGUUGGCUAAUCCUGGUCGGACAUCAGGAGGUUAGUGCAAUGGCAUAAGCCAGCUUGACUGCGAGCGUGACGGCGCGAGCAGGUGCGAAAGCAGGUCAUAGUGAUCCGGUGGUUCUGAAUGGAAGGGCCAUCGCUCAACGGAUAAAAGGUACUCCGGGGAUAACAGGCUGAUACCGCCCAAGAGUUCAUAUCGACGGCGGUGUUUGGCACCUCGAUGUCGGCUCAUCACAUCCUGGGGCUGAAGUAGGUCCCAAGGGUAUGGCUGUUCGCCAUUUAAAGUGGUACGCGAGCUGGGUUUAGAACGUCGUGAGACAGUUCGGUCCCUAUCUGCCGUGGGCGCUGGAGAACUGAGGGGGGCUGCUCCUAGUACGAGAGGACCGGAGUGGACGCAUCACUGGUGUUCGGGUUGUCAUGCCAAUGGCACUGCCCGGUAGCUAAAUGCGGAAGAGAUAAGUGCUGAAAGCAUCUAAGCACGAAACUUGCCCCGAGAUGAGUUCUCCCUGACUCCUUGAGAGUCCUGAAGGAACGUUGAAGACGACGACGUUGAUAGGCCGGGUGUGUAAGCGCAGCGAUGCGUUGAGCUAACCGGUACUAAUGAACCGUGAGGCUUAACC